rnacentral:rRNA from 1 species
CUCCGGUUGAUCCUGCCGGCGGCCACCGCUAUAGGAAUUCGAUUAAGACAUGCGAGUCUAGAGAGCAAUCUCGGCGGACUGCUCAGUAACACGUGGACAACGUACCCUAAAGUGGAGCAUAAUCUCGGGAAACUGAGGAUAAUUCUCCAUAGACCAUGAGAUCUGGAAUGACUUAUGGUUCAAAGUUCCGGCGCUUUAGGAUCGGUCUGCGGCCUAUCAGGUAGUAGUGGGUGUAACGUACCCCCUAGCCAAUUACGGGUAUGGGCCUUGAGAGAGGGAGCCCAGAGUUGGAUUCUGAGACACGAAUCCAGGCCCUACGGGGCGCAGCAGUCGCGAAAACUUCACAAUGGGCGAAAGCCCGAUGAGGGAAUUCCUAGUGCUAGCACNNNNNNNNNNNNNNNNNNNNNGGAAUAAGGGCUGGGUAAGACGGGUGCCAGCCGCCGCGGUAAUACCCGCAGCCCGAGUGGUGGUCGAUUUUAUUGAGUCUAAAACGUUCGUAGCCGGUCUGAUAAAUCCCUGGGUAAAUCGGGUGGCUUAACCAUCCGAAUUCCGGGGAGACUGUCAGGCUUGGGAUCGGGAGAGGUAUGAGGUACUUCAGGGGUAGGGGUAAAAUCCUGUAAUCCUUGGAGGACCACCGGUGGCGAAGGCGUCAUACUAGAACGAAUCCGACGGUGAGGGACGAAGCCCUAGGUCGCAAACGGGAUUAGAUACCCCGGUAGUCUAGGGUGUAAACGCUGCAGACUAGGUGUUGGAGGCCCUACGGGGGCACCCAGUGCCCGAGAGAAGUUGUUAAGUCUGCUACUUGGGGAGUACGUCCGCAAGGAUGAAACUUAAAGGAAUUGGCGGGGGAGCACCGCAACGGGAGGAGCGUGCGGUUUAAUUGGAUUCAACACCGGAAAACUCACCAAGGGAGACCAUCACAUGAAAGCCAGGCUAAUGACUUUGCUUGAUUCUUGGAGAAGUGGUGCAUGGCCAUCGUCAGUUCGUACUGUAAAGCGUUCUCUUAAGUGAGAUAACGAACAAGACCCUCACUUAUAAUUGCUACUCGUCUGUCCGCAGACGAGGCACAUUAUCGGGACCGCUGGCGCUAAGUCAGAGGAAGGAGAGGUCAACGGUAGGUCAGUAUGCCCUGAAUCUCUUGGGCUACACGCGCGCUACAAAGGGCGGGACAAUGGGUCCCUACACCGAAAGGUGGAGGCAAUCUCGAAACCCGUCCGUAGUUCGGACUGAGGGUUGUAACUCACCCUCACGAAGCUGGAUUCCGUAGUAAUCGCGAAUCAACAACUCGCGGUGAAUAUGCCCCUGCUCCUUGCACACACCGCCCGUCAAACCACCCGAGUCGGGUUUCAGUGAGGUUACCUUUAAUUGGGGUAUUCGAACUGAGAUUCAGCAAGGGAGGUUAAGUCGUAACAAGGUAUCUGUAGGGGAACCUGCAGAUGGAUCACCUCC